rnacentral:misc_RNA from 1 species
CCGAGUUAUACAACUCAUCAACCCUGUGAACAUACCUAAAACGUUGCUUCGGCGGGAACAGACGGCCCUGUAACAACGGGCCGCCCCCGCCAGAGGACCCCUAACUCUGUUUUUAUAAUGUUUUUCUGAGUGAACAAGCAAAUAAAUUA